ensembl:lncRNA
CCCCCAUAAGUCCCCAUUGCACAUAUUCUUCACGGACUUGAAACACUCUUUUGUAGCUCUUCUAAUGAGUGUAACACUAGGAUACUUUUGGUGUUAUUUUCAGGAUGAAUUCUGUUCCGGCAUGCCCUAAAGCCAGAAGGAAAAAAAAACACAGCAUAGAAAUGAUAUUUGGAGCAGAUGUAAAAAAUCCUAAAGAAGAUUGCUAAAGUGUUAUGAUCAGAGCGCAGACAAGACCCAGCUGAUAGCUGCAGAGCUUAGGCAAAAAAGGUACUUAAUUUUUUCAUGGCUUGUGUAAACAAAUAUUGGAACUAUAUAGUAUAUAGCACAGAAUGCCAAAGCUUCUUGCAAAUUUUCUUUUGAACGUUCAAAUUGUGAGACUUAAUCCUCCUAAGUUAUUUUUCUCAGAAAACUGUACUUAUAAAAAGAAUUGAUAGCAAGAGGUAUCAGAAUGUGAAAACAUACCAUAGUAUUUAUGUCUGAAAUUGGUUUCUGAAACUUGCUUCUUAUUCAGACUUGGCCUUUAGACUUUCCUGUCUUUCUCUGGCAUUAGUCAAGACCAAAGGAGAAAGCUUGCUAACUCUUGUAAAAUUCAGCUUUCUUUACAAUGCAGGUUUUCAGAUCCUGUGUGCCAGCUUCCAUAUCAAUUGCGUGACUUCACAUGGGCUUUGGGUCAAGCCUCAGGUGACAAAAUGAAUUUACUUUUUAUGAAUACAUUUUUUUUCAUAUCGUUAUCUGGCCCCCGGUACUGGAGUAUUCCUUACUUUGGAGAUCAGAUUAAUAGUAUAUACUCGUAGGAACUCAUUUUGUAUCUUGAAGCCUUUAGGUUACACAUCCCAUUGCAGGCUAAAGAAUUAUCUGAUUACAAUUUCAAGUCUUCUACUGCAGUUGACCUUCUAAUUUGCUUUAAACACUUUUAUUUCAGAACUCAUGGAAAAAUACCUUGCAUAUCACUGAAUAUAAAUAACAGAGGUUAAGAGCCAUCUAGAAAGUAAGUGCUUUGUGGCAAACUGACACAUUCUCUCACAUACACAGUGCACCAUCACUACCCUAACUACAGUGCAAUUUGCAAUUAGAAGCAGAGAAGCCUUAGUAGACAGCAAUAGUUUAUUAAAAUUAAUGUAACCUGCCCAAAAAUGGGGAAAGCAUAGGUAAAUAUUUAUAGCUGACAUGCCAGAUAUCUCUUUCACUCUAUCAUCAUAUAUUAUUAUUUAGUUUGUAUCUAGAAGGCCUGCUAUAUACUGGAACCCUGUUCUGUACCCAGCUUCAAUAACAGAAAUUAUGUCUUCAAAAAUAUUUUGCAGUUCCAUUUGUGUGAGAAUGCUACAUGUUAAUAUUUCACCGAAGAGAUGAGAUAGAAGACAUCUCAUCUCGUUCUCAUUACUUAGAAAUGAAAUCAGCUACGCCUUCACUGGCAACAGCACAAUCACUAAGUGUUUGAUAGCAAUGUUAAGAGAUUGAAAGGAAGCCUCAAAUUUCCAUGGAAUAAUUCUAGAAUCAGUGCUCUGAAUUCCAGUACAAUCUUAGAAAGAUAAUUCCUGCAUUCAUUUCAUUGGCAAGAUGCAGUGCAUUUCAUUUGCAUCCCAGUCAGGGAUCUGUUGAGGCCAUACAUCUGUUUUAUUCAGAGCUUCUUAGGAGAAGAUUUAAAAUCAAUUUUAGACUUCAGAAAAACAGCCUUGUAGAUAAAGAAACCACUCCAUACUGCCUCGCUGACAACUGCAACAUUUCAAGACUUAGCAGCCCUGUAUUCCCAACUUUCACUGAAGUCAACAGCUUUGGUCAAAGAGUCAAAAAAAAAUGAUACAAAUCUUAGAAAGCUUGGUCUUUUAAGCCUACAUGCCUCAAGGACUGUGCAUGUUGUGGUUUGCACCACAGACCUCAAUUUCAGAUACUGUCUUUAUACAGUCCUUAACACACAAUACAUGUAAGAUUAGUAACACAGAUUUAAUUAAGACUACUCUUGAAUAAAAAUCUGUCUGUAUUAAACUAUUAGUGGGAUUAAGGCUUACAUAGCAGUCUUAGUAGAAUAACUGCCCUUUAAUGUAGAAGUCUAAUAUGAGAUGAUAAUAUUUGGAAUUAUUUUACAAAUUUUCAUUAAAAAACCUGUCAUGAAGUUACAAUCAAGACAUGAGCAUUGCUGCAUUACUAAGCUAAUUUUAUUAGAGCGUACACUGCCAGCAAGUGAAAAUAAUUUGUAGAGGAUUUUCAAAUGCAUUCAGUUAAAUUCUUGAUGCUGUUCUCUGUAAUACCAACGGUCAGGUUUCCAUCAGCUUCUGUGUGAAUAACAGGGAACAACUCUCUUGGCAUUACUCAUUUUCUUUUCUUAGGGUUGCAACUGACUUCUGUGACCCUAUGCAAGUCUCAGCCGUGUGCUGUCCAGCUGUUAAAAUGCUUAUACAAUUAUCUGCUUGAGGCUGUUGGCUCAAAUGUGUAGUUUGUUAAACAACACUCUACAAGGAGUUAGAAAAACAAAAUUGCAUUAGAGACUCGGUGUGUCUUUUACAGAAAAGCUCAAAUGUGGUUUGAUCCAAUCUGCAAUGCUGCAGACUGGGAGAUGGCCUGUGAAGUUUUGUACUGACAGACCUAGAUAAAAUUUUAGAAGAGAAAAAUCUGAGCAACUGCAGCUGUCUGGCAUUCCCCAUUAUCCAGUUUCCAUGGAUACAAGCAUUAGAAAUUUUGAAGUGAGUAUUAUUUUUAAAAUCACCCUCUCUCCCAAAAGUCCUGGUGACAGAAGAUGUGUUAGAAAUCUUGAACCUCUUGGGUUGAAAGCCCAGCUACAUUUGCAACGUUGGUAAAAUGAAGGUUAUGAAAGAGGAUAAAUAUAGCCAACAUUUUCCCUUUUGUUUUAGGUCAGAAAGACUAAGAAAAGGAGAAAAAUCGUAAUACUUACAGGAAAAUUGGUUUCAAGUUACAUAGAUUAUCUUGCAACCACAAAAAGAAAACCAAAAAAAAAAAAAAAUCCACAAAAGAACAAAGCUAGCCUUCUGUCUGGGAAAAACAAACACACCAAUGAAGCAAAACCACAACAGAGAAAGCAAAUGGGCUUUUUGGACAGCUGUAUAUGGUACGUCUUGGCCCAUUUCUGGUGACCCCAGAAUACAAUACUCUAAGACAAAUUCUGAAUAAAACUAGAUCAUUUUAUUAAACAAACAAUAUUGGAUAGGAAAACAAAAACAAGAUUCAAACCAAUCAAAUGAAACACAAAGUAAGACAGUGUGCUGCCAAUGCAUAAGGAAGAAAUCUUUAUAAUUCAUAUGCCUACAUGACUCAUUGGAAAUACUUACCACAGUGAAGUAAAUAAUAGGAGUAAGCAAAAAAUGGCUGCAAGCAGGUAACUUCUGAAGACAAAGGAGAAUGAAAAUCUGAAAGAGGAGGCGUACUCUUGAAGGUAAACUUCAUUACAAGCUUUGUUAACUGUUAUUUGUUUUUUGCGUACAAGGAAGUUUCAUUUGAAACCGCUCAUUAUUCUUUCAGUACCAUUGCAUAACCAGACCUAACGCCUUCUUUUUGUGAUAAGAAAAACAAUGUAAUUCAGCUUUCUCAAAAUGUGGGAAAACAUGACUAAAUGCAAGGAAGGAAGGUUUGGGUUUUUCUACUCAGACACUCUUUUCUCGGAGAUUAAAAAAUGCUGCAAAGUUAUCCAAGAGAGAUAUCUUUGCUAAUUUACUCUGAAAUUCAUUUCAAACUACAAUGGAUUUUUCAUUAUAGAUAUACCAAUUACUAAUUGCACUGAGAAGAGCUGAUGAGCUCGUAAGAUGCUUCAUGACAGGAGAGUUGCUAACUCCAAAGUGACUUACAAUUUGUAAUUCAGAAAUUCAAAGCCCACGUCCAGUAGCCAGCCAAACCCACGGCUCUAAUAAACUCUCCAAAUAAAUGAUUGGUCUUAGAAUCUUACACCAAUUUCCUUCAUACUACAUAAAUGGAGUACUUAUACUGUAGUGGCUUCAGAUUUUUAUUUAUUUAUUUUUACUUCACUCAAAGUUAGAAACACUUCAAGUAAUCGCCCCUCCUGCAUUUUCUAUCCUAAGGCACUUGGUGAGAAUUCCACUGAACACUCUCUUUGGCCUCACCCUGCCUGUUAUUUAAGGGUAAUUUCCCCUGCAAAUACGAAUAACUGCCAUUUUCGUGUUGAAAAUGAGGUAUACUACUUGUUUUUUUUUUCAAGCCUGCUCCCUUUCCCACCAUUCAGACUCGGAGUGGGCAUCGUCUUUGCUUUGGACUUGCGAUUGGAAGGACACAUUGAAGAGGGUUCACUUAAAUCUUGGCAAAAUACAGACAUGGCUGAGAUACAGAAAUCUAGCAAAAGCGCUCAUCCAGCUCUUAGGCAUUUACUG